CGGGACACGUGGUAUCCUGUCUGAAUAUGGGGGGACCAUCCUCCAAGGCUAAAUACUCCUGACUGACCGAUAGUGAACCAGUACCGUGAGGGAAAGGCGAAAAGAACCCCGGCGAGGGGAGUGAAAAAGAACCUGAAACCGUGUACGUACAAGCAGUGGGAGCACGCUUCGGCGUGUGACUGCGUACCUUUUGUAUAAUGGGUCAGCGACUUAUAUUCUGUAGCAAGGUUAACCGAAUAGGGGAGCCGAAGGGAAACCGAGUCUUAACUGGGCGUUAAGUUGCAGGGUAUAGACCCGAAACCCGGUGAUCUAGCCAUGGGCAGGUUGAAGGUUGGGUAACACUAACUGGAGGACCGAACCGACUAAUGUUGAAAAAUUAGCGGAUGACUUGUGGCUGGGGGUGAAAGGCCAAUCAAACCGGGAGAUAGCUGGUUCUCCCCGAAAGCUAUUUAGGUAGCGCCUCGUGAAUUCAUCUCCGGGGGUAGAGCACUGUUUCGGCAAGGGGGUCAUCCCGACUUACCAACCCGAUGCAAACUGCGAAUACCGGAGAAUGUUAUCACGGGAGACACACGGCGGGUGCUAACGUCCGUCGUGAAGAGGGAAACAACCCAGACCGCCAGCUAAGGUCCCAAAGUCAUGGUUAAGUGGGAAACGAUGUGGGAAGGCCCAGACAGCCAGGAUGUUGGCUUAGAAGCAGCCAUCAUUUAAAGAAAGCGUAAUAGCUCACUGGUCGAGUCGGCCUGCGCGGAAGAUGUAACGGGGCUAAACCAUGCACCGAAGCUGCGGCAGCGACACUAUGUGUUGUUGGGUAGGGGAGCGUUCUGUAAGCCUGUGAAGGUGGCCUGUGAGGGUUGCUGGAGGUAUCAGAAGUGCGAAUGCUGACAUAAGUAACGAUAAAGCGGGUGAAAAGCCCGCUCGCCGGAAGACCAAGGGUUCCUGUCCAACGUUAAUCGGGGCAGGGUGAGUCGACCCCUAAGGCGAGGCCGAAAGGCGUAGUCGAUGGGAAACAGGUUAAUAUUCCUGUACUUGGUGUUACUGCGAAGGGGGGACGGAGAAGGCUAUGUUGGCCGGGCGACGGUUGUCCCGGUUUAAGCGUGUAGGCUGGUUUUCCAGGCAAAUCCGGAAAAUCAAGGCUGAGGCGUGAUGACGAGGCACUACGGUGCUGAAGCAACAAAUGCCCUGCUUCCAGGAAAAGCCUCUAAGCAUCAGGUAACAUCAAAUCGUACCCCAAACCGACACAGGUGGUCAGGUAGAGAAUACCAAGGCGCUUGAGAGAACUCGGGUGAAGGAACUAGGCAAAAUGGUGCCGUAACUUCGGGAGAAGG
rnacentral:rRNA from 1 species